GACGUAGGGCGCGAGCGUUGUCCGGAUUUACUGGGCGUAAAGAGCUCGUAGGCGGCUUGUCGCGUCGACCGUGAAAACUCGCAGCUCAACUGCGAGCCUGCGGUCGAUACGGGCAGGCUAGAGUUCGGUAGGGGAGACUGGAAUUCCUGGUGUAGCGGUGAAAUGCGCAGAUAUCAGGAGGAACACCGAUGGCGAAGGCAGGUCUCUGGGCCGAUACUGACGCUGAGGAGCGAAAGCGUGGGGAGCGAACAGG
rnacentral:rRNA from 1 species